rnacentral:rRNA from 1 species
GAUGAACGCUGGCGGCGUGCCUAAUACAUGCAAGUCGAGCGAACGGACGAGAAGCCUGCUUCUCUGAUGUUAGCGGCGGACGGGUGAGUAACACGUGGAUAACCUACCUAUAAGACUGGGAUAACUGCGGGAAACCGGAGCUAAUAGCGGAUAAGAUUUUGAACCGCAAGGGUCAAAAGUGAAAGAGGGUGGUGCGGGCCCUUAUAGAUGGAUCCGCGCUGCAUUAGCUAGUUGGUAAGGUAACGGCUUACCAAGGCAACGAUGCCUAGGCGAGCUGAGAGGGUGAUCGGCCACACUGGAACUGAGACACGGUCCAGACUCCUACGGUAGGCCGCCGUAGGGAAUCUUCCGCAAUGGGCGAAAGCCUGACGGAGCAACGCCGCGUGAGUGCUGAAGGUCUUCGGCUCGUAAAACUCUGUUAUUAGGGAAGAACAUAUGUGUAAGUACCUGUGCACAUCUUGACGGUACCUAAUCAGAACGCCCCGGCUACCUACGUG